rfam:Vibrio cincinnatiensis DSM 19608 genome assembly, contig: BS67DRAFT_scaffold00006.6
AUUCCUACUGUUAUUGUCUACUACAUAAUUCAUAUAAUGAUGGGCAGUAA